AGCUCUGCAACCGCGUGUGUGCGCUCAUUCAUUCGUCAGUGUGUCCUGUCUGUCCGCCCACCCACCCACCCAUCCAUCCAUCCGUUCUCUUUCGAGCAAGACUUCGGAAAACUACCAGUCUACUCCGGGAAGAGGUCGUGAACUGGGGCCUCGGGGGCUCUAUCCAGUCCAGCUGAUCCCAGACAAGGACUGAGUGCCUUGAAGACUAGAAGGAGUCCAGUUCCCUAGAGACACAGAGCUUCCCUCCUGGGCGUCUGGGGUUCAAGGACUUCCCACUGGCGUCAUCAAAACUUUCUUAGCAUUCUUAUCGCCCCUUCCUUCGAUUCCUCUUCCAAGCACUGGGUCUCUCUAACCUGAUGGUUCACCCAGCCUCCUCUGGCUCCCGUCUGGUUUCCCUGCCCAAGCAUUUUCCCCGGUAAGAUACCCGCUUGCAAUAUCUCACCCCAUCCUUGGUCCUCUUCUUGGAGGAAUGAACCCAUCACAACAUAUUUGCAGGGAGGAACUAAAACCACUAUUUGUUAUGCCGUGUUCCCUUUUCCUUGACACCUGGGGAUAAGCCACUCCUGCCAGCUCGCAGUUUUGUAUCCACAGCAAUGCCACCCUUCAGAGAGCAUCUUCAUGGGUGUGAUCUGGGCAGUAGAACCUAAGAUAAAACUUGGCUAGGAUUUCCAUAACAGCACAGAAGAAACGUCAGAAAAAGGGUGUCCAUUUAGGUUUCCUCUGCCUGGGGAUGGGGGUGUGUCCUCAUGCUCCCAGGCAGGCAGUUUGCCACUCCCUGCUCAGGGAGGCUUGAGGGGCCAGAAAUCCAUCCCAGGACUUCCCUUUGGCUACAUCACUGAUGUGUUCACCGAUGUGGCAAAGUUUCCGCUACUGCUGGGGACUGGGGAAGGAAUGAAAACAGAGCCCCUGUCCUCUAGGAUAUAGACAUCUCGUUUCAAACCAGAUGAGUUUGGGUAACUCUACUAGCUGGACUGAAACUGACGUGUCGCCAUUUUGGAAGUCCCCACCCUGGGGAAAAAUGAUGGCACUUGGGGAUUUUCCCAGUGUGGUGUAUGUUCUGUGAUGCUCCUUAUUGUUCAUGUCCCCCUGUCAUGACAAAGGGAAGGCAGUCCUGGCUUGCUGGUCCGCCUUACGAUAGUAUAGGAAGUGCCCUCUGCCCUCAUGGCCGCCAUCAUGCCCAGGGCACUGCCCCUGGUGACCCGCUUAUCCAUACGGCCAGAGGUCCUGGUGGCACCGGCGACUAAGUGGUUCAGAGAGCAGAUCAGGUUUAGGAAGCUGAAGACCACGGUGACAUUCUGAGCAAAGGUUACGGAAGCCCUUCACAGCCAGGAACAGGAGCCUCCAGCGCCCCUGGGAGACACAAGUCAAGCUAUUGCCAAUAACGAAAAACCAACAGUUCCACCAGAACCCAAGAUGGACCCGAAGGAAGACAGGAGGGGAGCCCGGGAUGGACAGCAGCUGGAGGUGAGCGAUCUUUAAAUCCCUCAUUGCCUUUUCGGAGAAUAUAUUCUGAAGUGAGAAACACAGUGUUCCUGCAAGAGUCCUGAUGAGCUCUCCACCUCCCGUGUCGAAAUACAAAGUCUGUGACCGUAGCCAGCAGGAUGCCACUGAUGAUGGAAGUACAGUAUAAUGGCAGUGCAGAGAGGAAAGAACCUUGCUCCUUUAUGACAUUGCCGAGCUGCUGAGUUGUACUUGGAGCAGCUUUGAAGGCAAUUCUCCUCGUAGCUGAAAGCUUGCCCACGGAUAUGAGGAUAGCUCUAACAUGGUCACAGUGGCUGCUCCUGGAGAUGGAAUCUAGGAGAUGGGCCUGGGGUCGGGGUAGAUAAUGGGAACUCAUUCUUCUGGGUCAUGUUUUCUUCUUCCUUCCUUCCUUCCUUCCUUCCUUCCUUCCUUCCUU